rnacentral:rRNA from 1 species
AUUGAACGCUGGCGGCAGGCCUAACACAUGCAAGUCGAGCGGAGCUGCGGACGGGUGAGUAAUGCCUAGGAAUCUGCCUGGUAGUGGGGGAUAACGUCCGGAACCGGGCGCUAAUAUCGCAUACUAUCAGAUGAGCCUAGGUGGGAUUAGCUAGUUGGUUGGGUACAGGCCUACCAAGGCGACGAUCCGUAACUGGUCUGAGAGGAUGAUCAGUCACACUGGAAAUUAGGAACGGGCCAGACUCCUAAGGGGGGCAGCAGUGAGGAAUAUUGGACAAUGGGCGAAAGCCUGAACCAGCCAUGCCGGGUGUGUGAAGAAGGUCUUCGGAUUGUAAAGCACUUUAAGUUAGGAGGCGUUAACAACAGAAUAAGCACAGGCUAACUUCGUGCCAGCAGCCGCGGUAAUAC